AAACUUGAGAGUUUGAUCAUGGCUCAGAACGUACGCUGGCGGCACGCCUAACACAUGCAAGUCGAACGAAGUAGCAAUACUUAGUGGCAAACGGGUGAGUAAUAUGUGGGAAUCUACCCUUCGGUCUGGAAUAACAUGAGGAAACUUAUGCUAAUACCGGAUAAGCCUUUACAGGGAAAGCUUUAUGCUCCGAUUGAUGAGUCCACACUUGAUUAGUUAGUUGGUGAGGUAAUAGCUCACCAAGACAAUGAUCAAUAGCUGAUUUGAGAGGAUGAUCAGCCACAUUGGGACUGAGACACGGCCCAAACUCCUACGGGAG
rnacentral:rRNA from 1 species